rnacentral:rRNA from 1 species
UUCCUACGGGCGGCUGCAGUGGGGAAUAUUGCACAAUGGGCGCAAGCCUGAUGCAGCGACGCCGCGUGAGGGAUGACGGCCUUCGGGUUGUAAACCUCUUUCAGCACAGACGAAGCGCGAGUGACGGUAUGUGCAGAAGAAGGACCGGCCAACUACGUGCCAGCAGCCGCGGUAAUACGUCGGGUCCGAGCGUUGUCCGGAAUUACUGGGCGUAAAGAGCUCGUAGGUGGUUUGUCGCGUUGUUCGUGAAAACUCACAGCUUAACUGGGGGCGUGCGGGCGAUACGGGCAGACUGGAGUACGGCAGGGGGGACUGGAAUUCCUGGUGUAGCGGUGGAAUGCGCAGAUAUCAGGAGGAACACCGGUGGCGAAGGCGGGUCUCUGGGCAGUAACUGACGCUGAGGAGCGAAAGCGUGGGGAGCGAACAGGAUUAGAUACCCUUGUAGUCACC